ACUCCUACGGGAGGCAGCAGUGGGGAAUAUUGCACAAUGGGCGCAAGCCUGAUGCAGCCAUGCCGCGUGUAUGAAGAAGGCCUUCGGGUUGUAAAGUACUUUCAGCGGGGAGGAAGGCAAUACGGUUAAUAACCGUGUUGAUUGACGUUACCCGCAGAAGAAGCACCGGCUAACUCCGUGCCAGCAGCCGCGGUAAUACGGAGGGUGCAAGCGUUAAUCGGAAUUACUGGGCGUAAAGCGCACGCAGGCGGUCUGUCAAGUCGGAUGUGAAAUCCCCGGGCUCAACCUGGGAACUGCAUUCGAAACUGGCAGGCUUGAGUCUUGUAGAGGGGGGUAGAAUUCCAGGUGUAGCGGUGAAAUGCGUAGAGAUCUGGAGGAAUACCGGUGGCGAAGGCGGCCCCCUGGACAAAGACUGACGCUCAGGUGCGAAAGCGUGGGGAGCAAACAGGAUUAGAAACCCCGGUAGUCCCAUGAU
rnacentral:rRNA from 1 species